CUCUUUCUCGAUUCAGUGGAUGGUGGUGCAUGGCCGUUCUUAGUUGGUGGAGYGAUCUGUCUGGUUAAUUCCGAUAACGAACNAGACUCUCCCCUGCUAACUAGUCGGUUGGAUCUUGAUCASCGGGUUGCGUGCCGAGUAACUCUCGCUGUGCGGGUGGUGCGUCUCGGGCCUCACGGUUCGUUGCGUGCUCUCGUGUGGCGUUGGAUGCCUUGGAUCACACUGCACCCCAAGUCCGCCGCUUAUGCUAUAACUCUUCUUAGAGGGAUUCACGGCACUGAAGCCGUAAGAGACUGAGAGCAAUAACAGGUCUGUGAUGCCCUUAGAUGCUCUGGGCCGCACGCGCGCUACAAUGCCGGGCACAGCAGGUGUUUCUCCUGCUCCGACAGGAGCGGGUAACCCUCUGAAAGCCAGUGUUCUUGCAAGUGAUUCCUCCCUCGUGGAGUUUCACAGAGGCGUGCUUGGGCCUGGGACUUGCAAUUCUUUCCCACCAACGAGGAAUGCCUAGUAGCGGCGGGUCACUGAGCCCGCUGUGACUCAGUCCCUGCCCWUUGUACACACCGCCCGUCGCUACUACCGAUUGGGUGUACCAGUGAGAGCCUUGGACUGGCGUCCGUUGUUGCUCGCAAGAGUGACAAGCGGGUCCGACGGAAAGAGGUCCGAACUGGUGCACUUAGAGGAAGUAAAAGUCGUAACAAGGUUUCCGUAGGUGAACCUGCG
rnacentral:rRNA from 1 species